AAGAAUAAAAAAAAUAUAUUUCGUAAACAUAAAAAUAUUAAAUGUGUUAUAACUAACAGUUCAGGUGUAGUUGUACAUUCAUUUAUUUAUAAUAAAAAUCCAAUCAAUUUAAAUGAAGAAGAUAAAUUUUUUAAAUUUUUUAAUAAAAAUAAAAUAAAUAAUAAUUCUUUUAAUCACGAUAACAUGACCAUUUUACUUAAAGAGAUAAAUAAAAUUUGGUUGAAUAAAAUUAAUUUCGACUUAUUUUUUAAUGCACCAAUCAUCAAUGGGGAGCCCGAUAUAUCACCAUCCACAGUAAGUCGCAAAAAAAAAAAAAAAAAAAAAAAAAAAGACAAAAAUGGUGGUAGUAGUGAUGGUGGUAGUAGUAGUAGUAGUAGUAGUGAUAAAGUAACAGACCAUUACGCACAUAACAACAAAGAGAGCUAUAAAAAUAAUAAAACACUAUCUGUAAAUGUUCAAAAUAUAAAAACGAAAAGAUUUGAUAAAAAUAAUUUUAAAUUUAUUAGAAAAUCAAAAAGUUUAACAAAAAAUAACAUUAAUUUAAUUGAACAAAUAAAUAAAACACAAACUAUAAAAUCAAAUACUGUUAAUUUUAAAAAAGAGUCAUUUUCAUUAUCAGAUGAAUUUUAUAAUUCUAACAAGUUUGAAAAAGUAGCU
rnacentral:lncRNA from 1 species